AUUAAGAGGAGGUGAUUGUAUUAUUCCUCUUUUCAGAUAAUGGAGAGAGAGAAGAGAACAGCAGUAGCCGUUGCCAGAAAUAUUGAGCAAGGCGGAUUUAUUAGAUGAAGAUAUCAAAAUACUUUCCAUUGAGGAAACAGGUUGGAGGUGGGAGGCUGUAACCAUGCUUGAUUUUGUACCACCCUAACCUUUGCUUCCAUAUUGAAAGUUUAUUUUUUGGUUUACACAAAUCUGAUAUACUGGAUAGGGGCUUUUCUCCUUUCAUUUACUCAAGGAUCCAGGUUCCAGUCCAAUAUGCACCAUUCAGCCUGGUUGCAGCAUGUUAAGCAGCCCUGGAGGCAGCAGGUGAGCUCUUCAUUGCCUUGGACCAAAAUUAUAUGUCACUGCUGGUGUCCUUUAUUUGGCUAAAACUAGUCAUAAAGACCUGCUAGACCCUACCUUGGCCAGUCUCUAUGAGGGAUCCUAUGAAGCAACUUUCAGACAUUCAGAACCAAGAC
rnacentral:lncRNA from 10 species